UUGGGAAUUUUCCACAAUGGGCGAAAGCCUGAUGGAGCGACGCCGCGUGCAGGAUGAAGGCCUUCGGGUUGUAAACUGCUUUUAUCAGGGACGAUUAUGACGGUACCUGAAGAAUAAGGGUCUGCUAACUACGUGCCAGCAGCCGCGGUCAUACGUAGGACCCAAGCGUUAUCCGGAAUUACUGGGCGUAAAGAGUUGCGUAGGUGGCUUGGCAAGCAAGCGAUUAAAGCGUGUGGCUUAACCAUACAUGAAAUCGUUUGAACUGCCUGAGCUUGAGAGCGAGAGAGGUAGCUGGAAUUCCCAGUGUAGGAGUAAAAUCCGUAGAUAUUGGGAGGAACACCGAUGGCGUAGGCAGGCUACUGGCUCGUUUCUGACACUAAGGCACGAAAGCGUGGGGAGCGAACGGG
rnacentral:rRNA from 1 species